CAAAAAAAAAAAAAAAAAAAAGUGAGAACUGACUAUAUCACGGGUACCUAGACCAUGUGGAGAAAGGACUGAGACUGGAAGCAGAAAACACAUUGUCCGUACAGAGCAAAGUGCCAGACAACAGCUCACUCUAGUAAAGGGCGAUAAAUGCCACAUGAGAUGGUCUCCUCAGUUCAAAACUAGUGUCAUAUCUCAAGCUUGUGCCUAUAGGAAAAUCCUACACUGGUAUCAGUUAUGAAGUUGCAUCUGACUUAUGUGCCUGGUCUGAUGACUUCAACUAUCUUUUCAUGACUCCUAAAUUAUGGAGAUAGAUCCAAUAGAAGGCCGAACAAUUCAUGACAAAGCUGUUCUGGGACCAAGCUGG